GGUUUGAUUCUGGCUCAGGACGAACGCUGGCGGCACGCUUAACACAUGCAAGUCGAACGAGAGAAGAGAAGCUUGCUUUUCUGAUCUAGUGGCGGACGGGUGAGUAACACGUGAGCAAUCUGCCUUUCAGAGGGGGAUACCGAUUGGAAACGAUCGUUAAUACCGCAUAACAUAAUUGAACCGCAUGAUUUGAUUAUCAAAGAUUUAUCGCUGAAAGAUGAGCUCGCGUCUGAUUAGCUAGUUGGUAAGGUAACGGCUUACCAAGGCGACGAUCAGUAGCCGGACUGAGAGGUUGAUCGGCCACAUUGGGACUGAGACACGGCCCAGACUCCUACGGGAGGCAGCAGUGGGGAAUAUUGCACAAUGGAGGAAACUCUGAUGCAGCGAUGCCGCGUGAGGGAAGAAGGUUUUAGGAUUGUAAACCUCUGUCUUCAGGGACGAAAAAUGACGGUACCUGAGGAGGAAGCUCCGGCUAACUACGUGCCAGCAGCCGCGGUAAUACGUAGGGAGCGAGCGUUGUCCGGAAUUACUGGGUGUAAAGGGAGCGUAGGCGGGAUCGCAAGUCAGAUGUGAAAACUAUGGGCUUAACCCAUAAACUGCAUUUGAAACUGUGGUUCUUGAGUGAAGUAGAGGUAAGCGGAAUUCCUAGUGUAGCGGUGAAAUGCGUAGAUAUUAGGAGGAACAUCAGUGGCGAAGGCGGCUUACUGGGCUUUAACUGACGCUGAGGCUCGAAAGCGUGGGGAGCAAACAGGAUUAGAUACCCUGGUAGUCCACGCCGUAAACGAUGAUUACUAGGUGUGGGGGGACUGACCCCUUCCGUGCCGCAGCAAACGCAAUAAGUAAUCCACCUGGGGAGUACGACCGCAAGGUUGAAACUCAAAGGAAUUGACGGGGGCCCGCACAAGCAGUGGAGUAUGUGGAUUAAUUCGAAGCAACGCGAAGAACCUUACCAGGUCUUGACAUCGUAUGCAUAGCUCAGAGAUGAGUGAAAUCUCUUCGGAGACAUAUAGACAGGUGGUGCAUGGUUGUCGUCAGCUCGUGUCGUGAGAUGUUGGGUUAAGUCCCGCAACGAGCGCAACCCUUACUGUUAGUUGCUACGCAAGAGCACUCUAGCAGGACUGCCGUUGACAAAACGGAGGAAGGUGGGGAUGACGUCAAAUCAUCAUGCCCCUUAUGACCUGGGCCUCACACGUACUACAAUGGCUGUCAACAGAGGGAAGCAAAGCCGCGAGGUGGAGCAAACCCCUAAAAGCAGUCUUAGUUCGGAUUGUAGGCUGCAACCCGCCUACAUGAAGUCGGAAUUGCUAGUAAUCGCAGAUCAGCAUGCUGCGGUGAAUACGUUCCCGGGCCUUGUACACACCGCCCGUCACGCCAUGGGAGUCGGUAACACCCGAAGCCUGUAGUCUAACCGCAAGGAGGACGCAGUCGAAGGUGGGAUUGAUGACUGGGGUGAAGUCGUAAAAAGGUAACC
rnacentral:rRNA from 1 species